GUUACGUAAGUCAGGAGUGAUGGCCAGUAAGCAGUGUCUCUGUCUUCUCCUUUACCUCUCUGGGAGAUUGGCUACCUUCUCAGGUCCUGUCGAGUGUUCUGGAAUACUCAGGAAUGCUCUCAGGUCCAUGGGUAUUUUCUUCUCUAGCUCUCUGUGAUACAUUUUCUUUUCCAUGACAAAAGCUUAUUUUCCUAGGUUGCCAAAGUCACUCUGUUUAGACAGGUCCACCAAAGACACACCAUUGCUACUGGAGCCACACCUCUGUUGGUACUGCAGUGCUGCCACACUGUCUACAGAUAUGGCUGGCACUUUGCUACUCCUCUCUUGCCUGUGCCCAGAAGACUCUCAGACAAAGCGACUGCACAUCUGGGUCUGGUUGGAUCUGCUCAGGAGCCGUCCUUUCUGCUUCAUGUUUUCUGUGUGCUCCCUCAGCACACAAGAGAGGCCCAAAACCCAGCCUUUGCUUCAGAUGUCUUAGAGCAUCCCCAUUUGUCUGUACUGCCAUUGGAAGUGGGAAAUGGAAACUGGCAUAGGCCCUGUGAUCUGACUCCAGCUUCACUCCCCUUCCUCACGGCUCUCCACACCUCUUCCACUCCACUGAAGACAAGUCAACGGUCCCUAUGCACACCUCCCACCCUGCAUCACUGUCCCUUCAUCUGGAAUAUAGAUCUUGUUUCCUUUUUGAUUUCCUGCUCAAGUGCCAUCUAGCAAGCCUUGCUAGCCCAUAAUAAACCCGUGGCUCUUGAGACCCC